AGACGAAGAUGCAGGGACACGCGCGAGGAGCCGCCGCAGCCGCCGCCGCCGCGCUGUGGAGCCCGAGUGAGCGCGGCGCCAGCCCGUCCGGCCGCUGGACAACAUGGAGGCUGCACUGCCCGGGCCGCCGUGGCCGCUGCUGCUGGCGCUGUGCGGCUGCCCGGCCCCCGCCGCAGGUACAUGUACUGGGCAGAUUGGGGUGAGACGCCCUGGAUCGAGCAGGUGGGGAUGGACGACAGCACCCAGAAGAUCAUUGUGGACUUGGACAUUUACUGGCCCAAUAGACUGACCAUCGACCUGGGGGAGAAGAAGCUCUACUGGGCUGACACUAAGCUCGGCUUCAUCCACCGUGCCAACCUGGACGGCUCGUUCCGGCAGAAGGUGGUGAAGGGCAGCCUGACGCACCCCUUCACCCUGACACUCUCCGGGGACACUCUGCACUGGAUGGACUGGCUGACGUGCUCCAUCCAUGCCUGCAACAGGAACACUGCGGGGAAGAGGAACGAGAUCUUGAGCGCCCUCUACUCAGCAUGGAUAUCCAGGUGCUGAGCCAGGAGCAGCAGCCUUUCUGAGCCAAGGAGGUCCUGCUGCUGGCCCGGUAGACGGACCAAUGGAGGGUCUCGCUGGACACACCGGACUUCACCGACAUCGUGCUGCAGCUGGACGACAUCCAGCAUGCCAUCGCCAUCAACUAUGACCCAAUGGAGGGCCACGUCUACUGGACGGAUGACGAGGUGUGGGCCAUCCGCAGGGCAUACCUGGAUGGGUCUGGGGCGCAGACGCUGAUCAACACCAAGAUCAACGACCCCGAUGACAUCGCAGUCAACUGGGUGGCCCGAAGCCUCUAUUGGACCCACACAGGCACUGAACACAUCGAGGUGACGUGCCUCAACAGCACCUCCCACAAGAUCCUGGUGUCAGAGGACAUGGACGAGCCCCGUGCCAUUGCACUGCAUCCCGAGAUGGGCCUCACGUACUGGAUAGACUGGGGAGAGAACCCUGAAAUCAAGCGUGCCAACCUGGACAGGCAGGAGCUGCGCGUGCUGGUCAAUGCUUCCCUCGGGUGGCCCAACGGCCUGGCCCUGGACCUGCAGGAAGGGAAGCUCUACUGGGGAGAUGCCAAGACAGACAAGAUCGAGGCGAUCAGUGUCGAUGAGACGAAGAGGCAGACCCUCCUGAAGGACAAGCUCCCACACAUUUUCAGGUUCACCCUGCUGGGGGACUUCAUCUACUGGACCGCCUGGCAGCACCACAGCAUCAAGCGGGUACACAAGGUCAAGGCCAACCGGGACGUCAUCAUUGACCAGCUGCCCGACCUGAUGGGGCUCAAAGCUGUGAACGUGGACAAGGUCGUCGGGCCUGGAACUGCUGAGUGACAUGAAGACCUGCAUCAUGCCCAAGGCCUUCUUGGUCUUCACCAGUAGAGCCGCCAUCCACAGGAUCUCCCUCGAGACCAACAACAACGAUGUGGCCAUCCUGCUCUCGGCGUCAAGGAGGCCUCGGCCCUGGACUUUGAUGUGUCCAGCAACCACAUCUACUGGACAGACAUCAGCCUGAAGGUAGCGUGGGCCCGAACAUGCACACGUGCAGCCUAUAUGGGAAAACCUUCCCUCUGUACCUGCCUCAAAGGUUUCAGACAUUUUUCUUAAAGCACUAUAAUAUUUAUUGUAACACAAUUCAAGCUAAUUAAAUAUGAGCAAGCCUAUUUCAAAAA
ensembl:lncRNA novel transcript